UCCAAACUAGACACAUAGUAAUGGAUGUUGUUAGUUUUGAAAUCUUAUUGUGGUGAUUUAUUUGAGUAGAUUGCAGCGAUUUGGAAGCCCAAUGAAAGGGAAAGACUUAAGUCCCGAAGUGAUUGUUCAAUUAUUUGAGGCAAGUGGAUUUCUAAACCCUUGUUAAGUGUAUGGAAUUCGUGUAUUUCCUUGUAAUUUGUGUUUGGGAGUAAUGCGAAUUGGUGAUGGG
rnacentral:lncRNA from 1 species